rnacentral:rRNA from 1 species
UACGAAGGGGGCUAGCGUUGUUCGGAAUUACUGGGCGUAAAGCGCGCGCAGGCGGUCUUCCAAGUCAGUGGUGAAAGCCCGGAGCUCAACUCCGGAACUGCCAUUGAAACUGUUAGACUUGAGGAUGAGAGAGGUGAGUGGAAUUCCCAGUGUAGAGGUGAAAUUCGUAGAUAUUCGGAAGAACACCAGUGGCGAAGGCGGCUCACUGGACUGGUAUUGACGCUGAGGUGCGAAAGCGUGGGGAGCAAACAGG